CUGAGAAAUCACCACUAAAGAACUUAUCCACAUAACUAAACACCACCUGUUCCUUCAAAACUAUUACAAUAAUCAAGAGACACAAACAUGUAUACAUUAAUUCUAUUCUGAGAGUUCUACCCACAUACCACUUUCCCGCAGCUCUUUGCUGCAUAUCUUUUAAACUUAUUCUUUCCAAUAAACAGAUCAUCCAAUGGUUCAAGAAUUAGCGUACAUCCAUAAUUGGGGCCGUCUUUUGGUUUAGGUAAAUGAUAUUUUUGUGUGUGUUCAUUAUUAUAUUAUUAAAUAAAAAAUAAAAUUUAGAAGGGUCCUUU
rnacentral:lncRNA from 1 species